UAGAGUAUAGGUUAAUUGUUUAAGCUGAUACUUUGUGGUAGUAUAGAUCCUUUCUAGGUGCUCUUA
rnacentral:tRNA from 1 species